rnacentral:ncRNA from 2 species
GUCUUAUCGAGAGUGGUGGAGGGACCUGCCCUUUGAAGCCCGACAACCUGCCUUUUAUGGCAAGGUGUUAAAUCAGACGAUAAAAA